AGUGGACCUAAAAGCAAGUCAGUGUAGGACAGCAUAGUCCUGCUAAUGAAGAUGUUAUCUCUGGAAACUUUCUGCGUUACUCAGCGUUAAUGCCAUCCAGCUGCCAAAUAGUGAUGUCCUUCAUUACCAAGAUAAUUCUCUGAACAGCUGCAACAGUGCUGGGAAAUGCCACCUGAAAUUGGAAGACAAAAUCAAGUUUUGAGAAGAGAUAAUUUUUUAUUUUAUUAGUUUACAAUAAGCUGUACCCUCUUUGGUAACAAACAAAUGAACUCAGAGACUGUUAUCGGCCUUUUGGCUGGCCUAUCGAUGUGUUUGCAUGCCUAGUUUUGCAAUUAGGGUCACGUUUCCCAACAGGUAAGUACAGAACCGCAAGCGAACAGAAAUGUGCUUCCGGGGAGCGCUUUUAAACGUACUUGCUGCCUUUAGGUACUCUGGACUUUUAAAGUAAAAUAAAAUAAAGAAUUUUAACAGUACCAGUACCAUCUGUAAGAUAGAAAUGGAGACUUCAAUAGUGCUAAUUCUGUGCAGACAAACUGACAAAAUAUCCUGCUAAAUGAACAAGUAGGUGUCCACCUCAGUGACUGAGCAGUUCAUUAUCUUCAUCACAAUCGGGUAAUUGCACACAUGUAUUUGUGUCGUACUGUAAGACCAUGUUUCACGCAUAACAACCGGGCCUAAAUAUCUUCCCUGUUUGCUUUCCAAGAUCUUGAUAGAGACUGCAGCCACAUCCAGCAGCACUGGAAUGCCUCGCAGCCUGAAAAAGUGAGAAGAAAAACUUUGUUCUCCAAAUAAAACCAUGCUGCAAAAUAUGGAGCACCUCCGGUUUCUUUGAGCUCCACAGGGACAAUGGUUGCAUAUAAGAGAAAGGUCAGAUUCCAAGAUUGAAAACCACCACUCUCCAACACUUCCAGCUCUUUGUGGUCCCAUAUCAUGACGAACUCUAAGUUGACCUAAGUCUCUCCCACAAAACAUUGCAGAAAACUAAUCCACUGUAACUUACAAACCACUUUAAGAAAAGGAACAAAUUCCGAGGCAGUGGUAUCACAGUGGUCGUUGCUUUGCUGCAAUUAGACGGUGGUGAUGGUGUGAUGACGGACAUCAACACAGUGACAGAGAAAAGGGACACGAACCUCAGUUGUACAGCACUUCCAGCCUCAUUCCAAACCUAAAAGAAGAGAUGCUGUGGUCUGGCUUGGGAAAGCAAUAUUUCAGCAAUUACAGAUGACAGAGAUAACUUCAAGACAAAUCAGGCAUAUCCUAAAUCAAAAUGGAUGGAUCUUGCAAGAGCACACUUCUAACACAUAACACAGUAAAAAGGGACAAUUUCUAAUGGGUUAUUUUCAAAAGCAGUUA